rnacentral:rRNA from 1 species
UCCUGGCUCAGGAGUGAACGCUGGCGGCGUGCUUAACACAUGCAAGUCGAACGGAGUUAAGAAGGAAGCUUGCUUCAUUUAAACUAGUGGCGGACGGGUGAGUAACGCGUGAGGAACCUGGCCCUUCAGUGGGGAACAACAACUAGAAAUGGUUGCUAAUACCGCAUAAUGUCGGAGUACCGCAUGACAUUCCGACCAAAGGAUUUAUUCGCUGAAGGAUGGCCUCGCGUCCGAUUAGAUAGUUGGUGAGGUAACGGCCCACCAAGUCUACGAUCGGUAGCCGAACUGAGAGGUUGAUCGGCCACAUUGGGACUGAGACACGGCCCAGACUCCUACGGGAGGCAGCAGUGGGGAAUAUUGGGCAAUGGGCGAAAGCCCUGACCCAGCAACGCCGCGUGAAGGAUGACGGUCUUCGGAUUGUAAACUUCUUUAAUUGGGGAAGAACAAAAUGACCUACCCAAAGAAUAAGUCACGGCUAACUACGUGCCAGCCGCUGC